AAUUUCGUCGUUAAACAAAAAACAGGAUCGACGGUUCUUUUCUCUCUCUCUCUCUCAUUCUUUUUUUUCUCUCUCUACUUUCGAUUCGAAUCCUUUCGAGUUUCUUUUUCAUCUUCUUCUUCUUCUUCUUCUUUUUUUUUCCUUCUUCCCCCUCCCCCUUUUACCAUCCCCCGUCCCAUCAUCCCUUAUCCAUUUUUUUUUCUCCUCUUCCUCGCUUCAAGUCGUCGGGUUUAUCAAUCGCUGUGAUGAACGAGGUAAUUAUUUCGUGAAAAAAAAAAAAGAAGAAGAAAAAAACAAGAACGCGUAUCAAAGUGACGCGUCCGUCCGGGGUAAAUUUUGUUUUCCGUAUCGUGCGGGAGACGUCAAAUUUUGUGACAACUUUUGACGACGAGAGAGAGUGAUCGGGGGAAUGGUCCGUCUGUUAACGUGAGAAGAAAAUUUUCGCAUCGUUUGAGGGGAAGACGAUUAGAGACAAAGUAUCGAUAAAAGGACUGGCAAAAAGAAGACCCUCCCCCAGGAAUCUAACA
rnacentral:lncRNA from 1 species